rnacentral:rRNA from 1 species
CCCCUAGAUGUUCUGGGCCGCACGCGCGCUACACUGAACAGUUCAACAAGUCUUAACCUUGGCCGAUAGUUCUGGGUAAUCUUUGAACGCUGUUCGUGAUUGGGAUAGACCUUUGCAAUUAUGGGUCUUCAACGAGGAAUUCCUAGUAAACGCAAGUCAUCAGCUUGCAUUGAUUACGUCCCUGCCCUUUGUACACACCGCCCGUCGCACCUACCGAUUGAAUGGUCCGGUGAAAUCUCGGGACGGCGGCUUGGUCGCUUGCGUCCGACUGCUGAAACUUGAUUAAACCAUAUCAUUUAGAGGAAGGUGAAGUCGUANCA